AACGAACGCUGGCGGCAGGCCUAACACAUGCAAGUCGAGCGGACCCUUCGGGGUUAGCGGCGGACGGGUGAUUAACGCGUGGGAACGUGCCCUUUGCUUCGGAAUAGCCCUGGGAAACUGGGAGUAAUACCGGAUACGCCCUUUUGGGGAAAGAUUUAUCGGCGAAGGAUCGGCCCGCGUUGGAUUAGGUAGUUGGUGGGGUAAUGGCCUACCAAGCCGACGAUCCAUAGCUGGUUUGAGAGGAUGAUCAGCCACACUGGGACUGAGACACGGCCCAGACUCCUACGGGAGGCAGCAGUGGGGAAUCUUAGACAAUGGGGGAAACCCUGAUCUAGCCAUGCCGCGUGAGCGAUGAAGGCCUUAGGGUUGUAAAGCUCUUUCACCGGGGAAGAUAAUGACGGUACCCGGAGAAGAAGCCCCGGCUAACUCCGUG
rnacentral:rRNA from 1 species